AGGUCUUGACACUCCCGAUGCUUAUUUCUAGAGAUAGAAAGUUACUUCGGUACAUCGGUGACAGGUUGGUGCAUGGUUGUCGUCAGCUCGUGUCGUGAGAUGUUGGGUUAAGUCCCGCAACGAGCGCAACCCUUACCCUUAGUUGUUUUCCCGAAAGGAUUACCCUCUAAGGGGACUGCCCGGACAACGGGGAGGAAGGUGGGGAUGACGUCAAGUCCGCAUGCUCCUUACGUCUAGGGCUACACACGUCCUACAAUGGGGUCGACAGUGGGAUGCAAAGCCGCGAGGUGGAGCCAAUCCCCAAACGGCCUCUCAGUUCGGAUAGUAGUCUGCAACUCGAGAGCAUGAAGUCGGAAUCGCUAGUAAUCGCAGGUCAGCAUACUGCGGUGAAUACGUUCCCGGGUCUU
rnacentral:rRNA from 1 species